UACAGAGGUCCCGAGCGUUGUUCGGAUUCACUGGGCGUAAAGGGUGCGUAGGCGGUUCUGAAAGCCUGAUGUGAAAUCUCCAGGCCCAACCUGGAAAUGGCAUUAGAAACUACAGGGCUAGAGGCUUGGAGGGGGAACUGGAAUGCUCGGUGUAGCAGUGAAAUGCGUAGAGAUCGAGCGGAACACCAGUGGCGAAGGCGAGUUCCUGGACAAGUCCUGACGCUGAGGCACGAAAGCCAGGGGAGCAAACAGG
rnacentral:rRNA from 1 species